rnacentral:pre_miRNA from 1 species
AGAUGGAUGUCCGAGAUUCGUCCACGUCACCAUGAGUUAAAAUUUAACUCGUAGAUUCACUCAUGAGUUAAAAGUUUACUGGGAGUUAAAUUUUAACUCAUGGUGACGUGGACGAAUCUCGGACGUCCAUUU